rnacentral:tRNA from 1 species
UCCCCGAUAGCUCAGCGGUAGAGUAGGUGACUGUUAAUCACUUGGUCGUAGGUUCGAAUCCUACUCGGGGAG